rnacentral:rRNA from 1 species
UACGUAGGGUGCAGGCGUUAAUCGGAAUUACUGGGCGUAAAGCGUGCGCAGGCGGUCUUUUAAGUCAGAUGUGAAAUCCCGAGGCUCAACCUCGGAACUGCGUCUGAAACUACUCGACUAGAGUACUGGAGAGGGUAACGGAAUUCACGGUGUAGCAGUGAAAUGCGUAGAUAUCGUGAGGAACACCAGAGGCGAAGGCGGUUACCUGGACAGUUACUGACGCUCAGGCACGAAAGCAUGGGGAGCAAAAGGG